rnacentral:lncRNA from 1 species
UAGAACACACCCGCGAAAUCGCGGGCAUUCAGAGCGGAGUUAAAAUUAUGUAAAGUGUUGUUAGAAGUUUUAUACCUCCUCCUUCAUUUCCAAAAUCAAAUUUUGGUUUUCAUCAAUUUCAAUAUGAACAUACAUUUAGUGUGUUAUGAAAAUUUAAGUAAGGAGCCUGUAGUUCAGUGGUUGUCGUUUUAUUGUGUGUUACAUAUAAAUUUGUUUUUCGUUCCUUUUUUUGUACAUAAAUAAGGCCGCUAGUUUUCUCGUUUGAAUUUUUUUACAUCGUCAUUUCGGGGCCUUUUAAAGCUGAGUAUGCGGUAUGGGCUUUGCUCGUUGUUGAAGGCCGUACGGUGACCUAUAGUCGUAAAUUUCUGUGUCAUUUUGGUCUCUUGUGGAGAGUUGUCUCAACAUGGCAAUCAUACCACAUCUUUCUUUUUUUUUGUUAUCAAUGAAUUUUGUAAAAUAUUUAAUGAAUGGAGAAUUUCAGAAAAGGUAUCAAAAGUUCACAUGAAUAAUUUUAGCGCUUAUCUGUAUAUUACUAUAUAAAUAAAGUGUAUUUACUUUCAAUUCUUAGUUUAGUAAUCGAUCCAUGGUGGUCAAUUGACAUAGUAUACAGA